CAUGGUCUGAAUAGUUGACAAAGGAGAAUUUGUCCCAGCUCCAAUCACAAGUCAUCUGUAGGCAUGGAAAAGUCUGAAAAUUAGACCGUUUCUGAAAGAAACUGAAGAUUCACUUUAUAUUUUGGGAACUGAAUGGAUCAUGAAAAGUGAAGUGCUUCAUAUCAGCAUGGAGCCAGAACUGAAUGUGAGUUGUAUGUGGAGGACUACUCUCCUUCUGAAACGCCACCGGCACCAAAAUUUGAGGAGGCUGUUUAACCAGUGAAGACUGAAAGUCAAGUUUAUCUUUGAGAACAUCUCAACGUAUCCCAAAGCAUCUGCCUCAUUUACAUAUCCCCCUGGAGUCCCAGCGAAGGUGGUCCUCAAACAAUGGCAAGCAUCCGGUAGCUGUUGACAUUCGACACAUGCGUCAGGUUCAGCUGCAGCUGACUGAUGAAGGAUUUGUUAUGGUUGCUUAAAUCAGGUACAUUACAAGUCUCCUUCCUUCCAAUCCCAAGGGGCCUUACAUAUUCUCUGGCCCUUCUACAGUGGCAGCAGUGGUUUGAUGACUCCAUCUGCUCCGUUCCAUUACACAUGCGGAGGAGAUCGAAACGGCCGUCAAAAAGCCCAAAUAACAAACAAGGGAGUCAUAUCGCUCCUUCUACAGUAUCAACAUAGUAACAACACAAUGGCGGCAUCUGUUUGGAGGAAACUUGGUGAAAGUGCCUCUUUAUUCUGCACGAUACAAUGCUGGUUGGUAUGAAAAGCCUGUUAGGAAACAUUGCAAGGGGCCUGAUGAAGUGGACCAUGACUCUUUGUGCAUGAAUGCACAUGCCCUAUGUGUGUUUGUGUAUGCGGGUCUGCUUGAAGUCAUUAGGGACAUGUAGAGCACUUGGAAAAAGUACAGACGACCUGCUGCCUGUAGGUAUCUCUGUAUGAGGACUCAAUCCUUCUCCGCUUAUACCACCCAGGGGAGAGAAGGGAGCGGAAUAAGAAGAACGAGAGAGGGGGAGUGAAAAACAAAGAGAAAUCUUGAUGCUCUCAUUUUGCCCUUCCUUUUUUGCAUCCAGAGGGGGUGUUUCUGUCUUUCUCUCUGCCGUCUUUAACCUGAAGCACAAUAGGAGCAUCAGGCAUCACCUUAAGCAGUGGAUAGAGUGGCUCCAUGCCUACACACUUGUGCAAAUUAAUAUCUGAUUUCAACACUUUCUUGGUUCAGUAGCAGUUUAUAGAAACUUUAAAGGUGAUGUGUGUGUGUGUGUGUGUGUGUGUUACAUUUAGAAAUGCUAUUCCAAGUUAAUGUGUAGAUUUUACUGUUAAAACUAUAAAAAGAGUGCAGUUCUUCAGAAGAGUCUGUAGUGGGGUCUAAAUUUUACUUGUGCCUUUUGAAACAACAGAGUUAAGUUUGUAGCAUUUUAGCAGGCUGCAUUGAUUUGAAAAAAAAAAAAACAUUUAAAAUGAUAUUAUCUAUUAUUAUUAGUAGUAGUAUUAUUAGUAUUAUUUUUUAUUAUUAUUUGAAUAGGCCUAAGUUUUUCCCGUUAAUAUAUUUUAAUGUAAUUUAUUUCUGUGAUGCAAAGCUGAAUUUUCAGCAAUUUAAUGCAUACUUCUUGAUUUUUUUAUUUUUAAAGUAUGUGUGUGUUUUGUAUAUGUGUGUAUAUAUCACAUCACAUAAUUUUGCAGUACAAGUUUGUGUAGUGGGUAAUAAUGCAAAAUAAAUAUUCACACAAUUUUUACUGGAAAACAGCUAAUUAUUUUAAAUUGUAAAAAAAAAAGGUCAAGUGUUCAAUUUGACUUGAGAUGACACUUAUCAAAUUCAUACACUAGAUGGCACAGUACAUAAGUGUCAGCAUCUUGCUCAACUAACACUGGAAAUCUAAUUUAAUAAAACAAAAAAACGGUGCAUCUACUGUAGAAGGAUUGACUAUAAUAGUGCCAUUUUAGCUUGUCUUCAUACUU